rnacentral:rRNA from 1 species
UACGAAGGGGGCUAGCGUUGCUCGGAAUCACUGGGCGUAAAGGGUGCGUAGGCGGGUCUUUAAGUCAGGGGUGAAAUCCUGGAGCUCAACUCCAGAACUGCCUUUGAUACUGGACAUCUUGAGUACGGGAGAGGUGAGUGGAACUCCGAGUGUAGAGGUGAAAUUCGUAGAUAUUCGGAAGAACACCAGUGGCGAAGGCGGGUCUCUGGACAGUUCCUGACGCUGAGGCACGAAGGUCAGGGGAGCAAACGGG